rnacentral:rRNA from 1 species
AAACGAUUGAAGUCAGUCGUGUCCGAGGGGCUCAGCCGGUUCUGCCGGUGUAUUCCCCUCGGAUGGGUCAACAUCAGUUUUGAACGGCGGAUAAUGGCUUUGGGAAGGUAGCACCUCCGGGUGUGUUAUAGCCCUUUGUCGCAUACGUCGGUCGAGACUGAGGAACGCAGCUCGCCUUCAUGGCCGGGGUUCGCCCACGUCCGAGCUUAGGAUGUUGACAUAAUGGCUUUAAACGA